UGUGUGUGUGUGUGUGUAUGUGUGUGUGUGUGUGUGUGUGUGUGUGUGUGUGUGUGGGAGAGAAAGAGACAUCGUGUUCGUAUAUGGGAAUUAUAAGACAAUGUGCUCCGGACAUUUUGUGUGAACACCAGCCGUGGCCGUGAGAGGACAUCCAACGAGAAACUGUGGGAUUCUCUUCUUUGCUGCAUCUUUUCCAGCCGGCGUGAGCACUUUUUUCAUCUGAAAAGUUGCAACUGAUAAAGGUGGACUUUCCACGGACAUCCUGGAGUCAUCAGUAGCGAGAGAUCAUGUGGACUACUCUGCUUUCUCAAAGGACGUUGUAGCAUGAAUAACUCGGGCAUCAGUAAAGAUGUUUGCCGUGUACUUGCUCACAAAGGUGAUCAAAACCGAUUCAAACAAAACUAAAAAUGUUGCAUCUAAAAGUAUUCUGUGACCUUUUCUUUUGAGUUUCUCCUGUGGAUCCAAAGCACCAUCUAGUGGCUGUUCAGCGUCCAUGGAUACUCCACAUCGAAGCUUUCAAUGUGGUCCUGAUGUAAAAAAAGACAAAGCAACAAUUUGUCCUUCAGUAUUUUUAAGUCAUGCUUUGUUAUAUAAGUGCCAAACUGGUUCACCCAGCCUCCAGGUGUGUCUGAGCGACAGUAUGUGACUGAUGGUGUUUGUGUAUGGAGACGUUUUACUGCCUUUAUUUUUGUACUGAAUUGUACCAGCAUAUUUAAAACUGUAUAAAGUUAUGUUUUAUGUCUUAAGUUAUGUUUAGUUAGUAAAGAAAUAUCAAUGAC